rnacentral:rRNA from 1 species
AUGAACGCUGGCGGCGUGCCUCAUACAUGCAAGUCGAGCGAACGGACGAGAAGCUUGCUUCUCUGAUGUUAGCGGCGGACGGGUGGGUAACACGUGGAUAACCUACCUAUAAGACUGGGAUAACUUCGGGAAACCGUAGCUAAUACCGGAUAAUAUUUUGAACCGCAUGGUUCAAAAGUGAAAGACGGUCUUGCUGUCACUUAUAGAUGGAUCCGCGCUGCAUUAGCUAGUUGGUAAGGUAACGGCUUACCAAGGCAACGAUGCAUAGCCGACCUGAGAGGGUGAUCGGCCACACUGGAACUGAGACACGGUCCAGACUCCUACGGGAGGCAGCAGUAGGGAAUCUUCCGCAAUGGGCGAAAGCCUGACGGAGCAACGCCGCGUGAGUGAUGAAGGUCUUCGGAUCGUAAAACUCUGUUAUUAGGGAAGAACAUAUGUGUAAGUAACUGUGCACAUCUUGACGGUACCUAAUCAGAAAGCCACGGCUAACUACGUG